rnacentral:tRNA from 1 species
GAGGGUGUAGCUCAGUAAUGGAGCACUUGCCUAGCAGGUAUGAGACCCUGGGUUCAAUCCACAGCAUCCCCU